AUUGAACGCUGGCGGCAGGCCUAACACAUGCAAGUCGAACGGUAACAGGAAGAAGCUUGCUUCUUUGCUGACGAGUGGCGGACGGGUGAGUAAUGUCUGGGAAACUGCCUGAUGGAGGGGGAUAACUACUGGAAACGGUAGCUAAUACCGCAUAACGUCGCAAGACCAAAGAGGGGGACCUUCGGGCCUCUUGCCAUCGGAUGUGCCCUGAUGGGAUUAGCUAGUAGGUGGGGUAACGGCUCACCUAGGCGACGAUCCCUAGCUGGUCUGAGAGGAUGACCAGCCACACUGGAACUGAGACACGGUCCAGACUCCUACGGGAGGCAGCAGUGGGGAAUAUUGCACAAUGGGCGAAAGCCUGAUGCAGCCAUGCCGCGUGUAUGAAGAAGGCCUUCGGGUUGUAAAGUACUUUCAGCGGGGAGGAAGGGAGUAAAGUUAAUACCUUUGCUCAUUGACGUUACCCGCAGAAGAAGCACCGGCUAACUCCGUG
rnacentral:rRNA from 1 species